UGGCCUUAAAGUAUGCUUCUCGCGUGUGUUAUGAUAAUUUAAUGUACUUUUAUUUAAUUUUAAUAGCUUUUAAGUUAAAUUAGACAUAAAACCUCAGCAACUAUUUGAUUAUGAUGACAAUCAUAUGACAACGAGAUGUAUUAUGCUUUGUUGAUGAUGAGACAAUGGUGUAGCGUCCUGUUACUUGGCCUCGGCGAUC
rnacentral:lncRNA from 1 species